rnacentral:rRNA from 1 species
CACGUAGGGCGCAAGCGUUGUCCGGAAUUAUUGGGCGUAAAGAGCUCGUAGGCGGUCUGCCACGUCCGCUGUGAAAACCUGGGGCUUAACCCUGGGCUUGCAGUAGAUACGGGCAGACUAGAGGUAGGUAGGGGAGAAUGGAAUUCCCGGUGUAGCGGUGAAAUGCGCAGAUAUCGGGAGGAACACCGGUGGCGAAGGCGGUUCUCUGGGCCUUACCUGACGCUGAGGAGCGAAAGCGUGGGGAGCAAACAGG